rnacentral:rRNA from 1 species
UACGAAGGGUGCAAGCGUUACUCGGAAUUACUGGGCGUAAAGCGUGCGUAGGUGGUUUUUUAAGUCCGUUGUGAAAGCCCUGGGCUCAACCUGGGAAUGGCAGUGGAUACUGGAAAGCUAGAGUGCGGUAGAGGGUAGUGGAAUUCCCGGUGUAGUGGUGAUAUGCGUAGAUAUCGGGAGGAACACCAGUGGCGAAGGCGGCUUUCUGGGCCUUACCUGACGCUGAGACGCGAAAGCGUGGGGAGCGAACCGG